AUUCACGAUCUGAAAGUGCGCAGACUUAACGUACAUAAUCCUUGGUUGGGUUUAUUAUUUUUAUUUCACACGUAAAACACAUUUAUAGUUUUAUUCACCACUCCUGUUAGUUUUGGAUGCGCUCGGCUCCAACCAAUCAGACGCAACCGGUGUAAGCAAAGGAUGAUGGGAGAACGGAGAGACCCGUUUAUAAGAAUAAGAAAAGGAGGCGGAAUUGAUUGAUUCAAAUGCAGGUAUGUAAAAAAUACAUAUAUUUAGAGUAAUAGCUUGAUGUGUGUUUCAAAUGGGUUUUUUCAUAAGAGCUUCAAACAAACAGAGGUGACUGAUCUCGGAAACGAUUUAAUGCAUUUAAAAAUGGCUACAGCUACCGUCAGCAUGCUUGCUAGAUAGAGUACGGUAACGACUACACGUGGCUAGUGCAGCAUUAGCCAUUUAAUCCAACGAUGAUCAUUAAAUCUAUUAUAAACAUUUAAGGACUUGUGUGUUGUAAAAGAGCCUCACAUGGUGUGUAAAGCAGUUUUUGCGCUAAUAGUUCUGCUAGCUCUUUACAAACCUAUGAUGCUAACGUUAAUUGCUAACGUUAACCGGAGCACUAAGCUUCAAGCUGCUGACGAACUCCGUCAAGACAAGCAGGUAACCCUCUUCUUUUUUUUUUUUUUUUUUUUUGUAAACGUGAUCUACUGGAAACAAACGUUAAAGAGGGGACACACUUGUCUAAUUUAUUGUACGUAGUAAACGUUAUAUUAUUUGAUAUAUUUAUUAUAAAUUUUAUAUAUCUGUAUAUAUGUUUCAGUAAGUAAAUAUUCUUCAAUCUCUUUUUUCCCCCAUUUUCCGCAGAUCAGCAUCAAUGUCAACGUGAAGAACCUAGUUAUGUUGCCAGUGUCAACCCAACAAAAGUUCCCAGUUCACACACGCUUUGUCCUGCACAACAGAGAGGCAGUAACAGGAGGGUUUUUGCAGCCUUCAUCAGAGUUUCACAAGCCAAUAGUUCGGCUGUUGCCUGUGCAAAGGCCAGACCAUGUGUGUGACUGCCCAGCAGGUAACGUUGAGGUUUCACCCGGCGCAAUUGUGGCUCUUGUAACCAUAAAUGGUAAGUUGCCCUUUUGUCACACAGUACAUACACAAUAGAUGUGUUUGCAGGUUUUAGUGCAAAUUGUACAUUGCUAUCAUCAUUGUUUAUUUAUAUAGCACAUCAAAAACACACAAGGCUGA
rnacentral:lncRNA from 1 species